UUACGGUCAUAUCACGUUGAACACACCGGUUCUCGUCCGAUCAGCGAAGUUAAGCAACUUGGUCAGUACUUAGAUGGGUGACCAGGU